CAGCCGCCGCGGUAAUACAGAGGGUGCGAGCGUUAAUCGGAUUUACUGGGCGUAAAGCGUGCGUAGGCGGCUUCUUAAGUCGGAUGUGAAAUCCCUGAGCUUAACUUAGGAAUUGCAUUCGAUACUGGGAAGCUAGAGUAUGGGAGAGGAUGGUAGAAUUCCAGGUGUAGCGGUGAAAUGCGUAGAGAUCUGGAGGAAUACCGAUGGCGAAGGCAGCCAUCUGGCCUAAUACUGACGCUGAGGUACGAAAGCAUGGGGAGCAAACAGGAUUAGAUACCCCAGUAGUCCCUGUCUCUUAUAA
rnacentral:rRNA from 1 species